CGUAUUGCAUUUGUAAUCCUAAACUGAAUAGGUUCUCUACCUCUUCUGAUUAGCUUGGGUAACCAUGAUAUGCUACUAGGUGUCACUCAUGGUUUGUGGAAGCCCUAAACGUGUAUAAUCACUAAAGGGAGAAUUGAAAGUAUGUUUCAAUUCACAAUCGGUUUGAAAGAGUUCUAAUCGCCCAAUGCCUCGCUAAAAGGAACCUAAUGGAUCAUACACCGUGUAAGGUAAAGAUUGAAGAAACAAUGGAGAUGAGUAAGAAUAAUUAAAUGGUUUAAUUAUUUAUGGCAAGGAUUAAUU
rnacentral:lncRNA from 1 species